ACGGCCAUACCAUGCUGAAUAUACCAGUUCUCGUUAUAUCACCGGCAUCAUCAUUGUGCGCAGUCAGUACUUGGGUGGGUGACCACCUGAGAACACCGCGUGCCGU